CUCAGAACUUAAGGAAUUGACGGGGCCCGCACAAGCGGUGGAGCAUGUGGUUUAAUUCGAUGAUACGCGAGGAACCUUACCUGGGCUCAAAUGUAUGUUGACGUAUUCUGAAAGGGAUACUUCUUCGGACAAUAUACAAGGUGCUGCAUGGUUGUCGUCAGCUCGUGCCGUGAGGUGUCGGGUUAAGUCCCAUAACGAGCGCAACCCCUAUCAUUAGUUGCCAUCAGGUCAAGCUGGGGACUCUAAUGAAACUGCCUACGCAAGUAGUGAGGAAGGUGGGGAUGACGUCAAAUCAGCACGGCCCUUACGUCCAGGGCUACACACGUGCUACAAUGGCCGGUACAAAGGGCAGCUACCUGGUGACAGGAUGCUAAUCUCAAAAGCCGGUCUCAGUUCGGAUCGGAGUCUGCAACCCGACUCCGUGAAGUUGGAUUCGCUAGUAAUCGCGCAUCAGCCAUGGCGCGGUGAAUACGUUCCCGGGCCUU
rnacentral:rRNA from 1 species